GGUGGAAACUCCUCCUCCACUCCGCCCCGAGGCAGUCAGGACUCGGCUAGCCGCGCGUCUCCGCCCGCCCGAGCGUUUCCAUAAAUCAGGCCCCUGGCAGGCUGCUAAUGAGCUCAGGGCGAAAAGAAUAGGAAGAGGGAGAGUCCAGUAGUGCUCGGUGGGGUGGGGGGGGGGUGGGAGCGCAGUAGGUGGGAGAUCAGAAUUUCCCCAGGACCUGCGGGCCACUGCCUGGGGCACCUCAACAGCCCCCCGCGGAGGCCACUGCAGAUCACUUUCCCCCAGCCGGGGCCUCCGAGCUGGGGCCUCCAGAUCACAUGCCUCCCGCGCUGCGCGCACCCGGGUGUCGGACCUGGCCCGCCCACCCACGCCGAGGCCCCCUCUCCCACUUGGCUGAGCAAGCCCUGCGUUAAUUAAAUCUCCCCUCGCCCCCUGCAAUUUCGGAAGACUUUCAAAACUCAUCCCCAAGUGUUUCCUCCUUAAGCCUGAAGCCUGCGCUUGGAAGAGCCGCCAGGAAAAGAGGGACCUGGGUCUGGUAGGAGGGUCGGUCACCUCAAGGCUUUGGGGUAACAGCCCCCCCCCAAGGAUUUUGGGUUGUGGGAUGGGACGCUGUAACCCUACUCCUCCUCCCCCAGUGAAAAGGCAAGACGGGGUCAAUCAAGAUCAGAAAUAACACUAAAGUUGGAUUAUUGAUUUCCAUGUAAAUCCGGAGCAGAGGACGCGGCGAGUGGACAGAAACGGAAAAGUUUAAGAGUUGCACUGACUGGUUUUACAAGUUCAAAUCCUUGGCUCCUCCAGCGUCUGUCGUUUGGGGCCGCGGCUACGAGCGCCCCGGAUUUGAGGCGCGGCGGGAGGACCCCGCAGGUCGCCGGGCGGUGGGACAGGCCCCAGCUGCUGCAGCUCUGAUCGUGCCGAGCAGAGAGGGAGAACUCGGCCGCGCCCUGGGUUUGGUGAUUCUGGAAGGAAGGCGGAGAAAAGUGGAGUCGGCGUGCCCCUCAAGUCCCAUAUUUAGAGCUUUCGCAGGCACCCAAGUGGCCAAUUCCGGCCGCAGAACUGCCUGCCCUGGAGGCUUUGGAAAGGGCGGCCCUCUGUGUGCAGGGCGGCCUCUACCCUCAAAAUAUGCUUCUCCAUCCCUCCUCCUCCCCCAGAACCACAGAACAGGCAUAGUCAGCAGGUUCCAAGUACAACUUUUAAAAACUCGAGUAGAGAUGCAAACGAAGGGGAACUUUCUCUUUACAGAAGGGCCGCCCACAGGGCCCUCAAUCUCGCUCUUUCUCUGUCUCCCACCGUGGACCAAGCCCCCCUGCUGGGCUUUAAAAGCGAGGUUUAGUGCAGUGAAUAUACUACGGGGCCUUUUCUGGCACCCGGAGAAGCGCCUGGAGUGAAAAGGGGCCGGGAGGAUAACCAGAGGAAGAGGGGAGAGUCAGGAAGGCCGAAGAGGGGGACUCUGCCUCCUCCGGGCAUGAGCCGCGCCCGGGCCCAGCGGGGAGGUGGCGCAAUGCGGGUCAGGGUUCGGCUGACACCGACGCCACCGCCGGCCUGCUGAGUGCCCGGGAUUUCCCCUCAACCAGGCCCGAGAGGGAUUCCAGGCUCCUCGGGUGGAAUGUGGGAGGUCUUGGGGGUAAUCCUUCCUGCCGAAUGCAGAGCUGGCAGGAGCCUCCGUAAAAAAACAAAAAAUCAAAAAAACCCCACACCAAUAGCGAAGCGGUCUUGAGGGCUGCCCGCUUUGCCCGCAAUUAGAGGGGUUUUCUCGGACCAUGAGGGGAGGUGAAACCUAUGAAACUCGGACCCCGCCAGGAACCCGCACUGAAUGUCCUUUCUGCAACCACUUCACCAGGAACUCCAGGGGCCGGGACAAGGGUGACGACUCCAAAUCACAGGCUGCCGCUGACCUCUGGUUAUACUGAUGGGUCCUCGUUUCCUACCAUCGCCAGCCCCAGGAGUUAAGGACACGCGAGUAACCUUCCUGUCGCUGUCCCGUUCUCGCCUUACAAAAAAUAAAUAAAUAAAAAAGAGCCCAGCGGAGAAUUGUAGACUAGAGGUCGGAGGCUUCACGGAGCUGGAGAGGAACUCGCGUCUCUAGUUUUUAAAGCAAACAAAGCCGAAAACAGCCUAACGCCUCUGGCUGCCCAUGGGCCAGAGCUCAGUGCGUCUUGGGCAGUGCGGGCGCCGAGCACUCUGCUCCAGGAUCAUCUCGGGCCAAACCCUGGGCUGGGCCCCGCGCGCCUCUGCCUGGCUGGCAUCGAGUUAGGAGACCCUGUUUGCACCCCUCUUUGCAGCUGCUGAGCCUCCUCCGGCCAGGCUGGCCCUGGGGGCGCCGCCCAGGUCAGGGAAGGUGUGGGGCUCAGGUGGAGAACUCAGGGCCACUGGCGGCUGGGCGGCCACGUCCGGAACCCCGUCCCAACGCCUAUCUCGCGCGCUCUGCCCUCUCCAGGAGUAAAGCACUAAAACAUCCCCGGGUCUAGCGAGUGCAGGAUAGGGCGAAGCGGAGCCACCGGAGGCAUCUUCCGGCUGCGUUACCACUGGAGCGGAAAACUGAGCAUUUUCAGCGUUGGAAACGUCCCGUGGCUGCUGGAGGAGGCCCGCCCCGCAGGGUCGGCGAGAAAGUACUCGAAUUCCCACGCUGCCAUCUUGGCCUCUUUUUAAACAACAUCAUGAAACUAAAAACACCAAUCGAGGCAACGCGUUUCUUUCCGUUUUAGUACGACAUAAAUAAAAUGCGCUUUUAAGCCAUCUUACUCUCUAACUUCAAGGGAGCCAAUGUUAAUUUUACCUUUAUUUAAAUGAUUGCCAAGGCUGACUUGUGAGGGAUUCUCCCCCUCCUCCAUCCCUCCCUCCAGAUGUUGGCAUACGGAGUAUAGUAAUAAUUUCCCACUAUCCUGGAAAGCAAGCAGCUCUUUCUGGCCUCGUCCUCCCCCCACAACACCUUACCUCGUUUUUUGUGGAUAUUGUUAAUUUCACGGAACGCUAUUUAAAGUUUAGCAUGAAAUGCACGUGCCACGACACGAAUGGCCAGUGUGCUGUUACCUCCAAGGAACUCCAAGUGCGGCGCACUAGGAACAGACCCGACUUUUCCGUGGGUGCCUCCAGACGAUGCCACAGGAGAUUUAGUGGGCACCAUCUCCUGGUAGGAGGCUCCCUGACCUAAGCGCAGCCAUGUACCCAUGCACGCCCAAGUGGCCACAUUCCCAGGCGGGCUUUGCCACUGGGGACUAAAACUCUGUUCCUCGGAGGCAACAGCUAGAGCGGUGGAAGGAAACGCGAGGAACUUAGGGCGAUCUUUUUCACGCCACGUCCAGUUUUUAGGAUCUCGUGCCAAUUUCUCAGUGUGUUUCUGUCCAGAUAGACUAAGCUCUUUGGAGUUAAUUAACCUGAGGUCCAGCUACAAUUAAUAGAGAGCGAAGAAAAGACGGAAAGAGGGGGACUUUGUAGGAAGAGCGAGGAAUAAAAAAAAAAAA
ensembl:lncRNA